rnacentral:rRNA from 1 species
UACGGGGGGGGCAAGCGUUGUUCGGAAUCACUGGGCGUAAAGCGCACGUAGGCGGACUUGUCAGUCAGGGGUGAAAUCCCGGGGCUCAACCUCGGAACUGCCUCUGAUACAGCAAGUCUUGAGUCCGGAAGAGGUGGGUGGAAUUCCUAGUGUAGAGGUGAAAUUCGUAGAUAUUAGGAAGAACACCGGUGGCGAAGGCGGCCCACUGGUCCGGUACUGACGCUGAGGUGCGAAAGCGUGGGGAGCAAACAGG